rnacentral:piRNA from 1 species
UGGAUGAGAGCGAAGGUUGCU